rnacentral:rRNA from 1 species
GACGUAGGGCGCGAGCGUUGUCCGGAUUUAUUGGGCGUAAAGAGCUCGUAGGCGGCUUGUCGCGUCGUCCGUGAAAACCUGCAGCUCAACUGCAGGCUUGCGGUCGAUACGGGCAGGCUGGAGUUCGGUAGGGGAGACUGGAAUUCCUGGUGUCGAGCGGUGGAAUGACGCAGAUAUCAGGAGGGAACACCCGGUGGCGAAGGCGGGUCUCUGGGCCCGAUACUGACGCUGAGGAGCGAAAGCGUGGGGAGCGAACAGG